AGACCAGCUGUCCAAUUGCUGACAAGAAUAUCAAAGGGUAGGAAUGGGAAUGUAUCCAAUCAGCGUCGACGUUGUUUCAGAACGUUUCAGAAGCAUGAUGGGCGAUGGAGCUACCGCCAAAGGAUUCGUUGGUGUUCGGUAGAACUCGGCAGAGUCGUUUUUGGUCAUGACGCAGAUGUAACAUGGACGCCGCCGGUGACUACAACCAGCAUGGAUACCGGAUCUCAGCAGCCACUGAAUUCAGUUCGGUCUCCUCCAGUAUCCGUUCGAGAGGAGAACUAUGGUGGAAAAACUUAAUGUCAAAGAGCUUGGACCAGAUCAGCCCGACGUAAAGAUAAGCCAGCAGGAGAAGGAGAGAGAUAAGGCAUGGAUGAGUCAGGAGUUACAGACAUGAAACAUUUUUCUGAGAAGGUGAAGAAACACGAGUCAUCCCGGGCACACAUGGACAACAACACGGUGAAGCUAGCCAUGCUAGGCAGCAGAGCUAACGUUGCCAUGCAGGGAACAGCAGCAGCUGGGUGCAGAGGUUUUUCACACCAUCCUGAGCCAUGCAAAAGAAGAUUCUUGUCACCACACCCAUGACCACAGCCGAAUCAGAAAGGUGCUUUUCUACUUUAAAGAGGAUUAAGACUUUCCUUGAGGAACACCAUGACACAGGAUGGGCUGAAUGCUCUUGCCAUGCUCUCCAUGGAAAAAAAAGCUUGUCACAAACAUUCCUGACUUCAAUAAAAAGCUCAUCGAGAGCUUUGCCACUCAGAAGGACAGAAGGGCAAAAUUUCUGUACAAAUGAGGUAUCACACACACACACACAAAUGCAUCCACUUGAUCUUUGUAUAAAGUUGACCUUGGCACAACACUCCAGAAUAUUUAACAGUGUAAAUUUCUGGCAUUUUGUCUAAGUGGUGUUUACUACCAUUACUGUAACAGUGACCUGCUCAUAAUGUUUGGUGUUCACUCAAAUGUUGAAAUUAAACAAAAUGUUUUUGUUACUUGCCUCUUGCAUUGCCUAUUUACCAUUUAUGGUCGUGUUAUUUUAUGUGCAAUUUAAUGCAGUAUUUUUCAACCUUGGUCUGCAAGGCAGCGUGCCAAUAGUCAGACACACCUGGAUUAAUCAGUUUGUCCAAUGAUGUAAGACAGGAAAUAAAAGAGCUGUGCUUAAUUCAGGAAAUAGUGAAGUUGUGCACAAAGCUCAGAAAGCACAAGUUUGUUUAAAAAUAAAAAAAUAGCACAGCCCCACCAAAAAUAUUUUUCACCAGCCGCCACUGUGCAGACACCUGAUCAGCAUAGUCCACAGCAGUCCAGAACUCCUGAGCUCAAACGAUCCUCCAGCCUCAACCUCCCAGUAGCUUGGAUUACAGGCACGCGCCACCGCACCCGGUGUGGAUCUGAGGACCAGACAGGAGAUGUAACUGUUAGAUGAUGUUACCAAGAGUCAUAGAAAAGACUGAUGUAUCAUCAGGUAACAUUUAAAUCACCUGUGAGUCUUCUGAGUAGGAGCAUUGAGCUCAAUGCUUUAACAUCUAAAUUAAAACAGAAAUUAAAACAAUCAGCUGAAGAUUUGUCUUAAACUUUCCAAUCCUGCGUUAAUACCCAACUUUUCCUAUUUUUAAAAUUUGAUUAAACAUUUUUCAGGUUCUGUGUGUUUUAGUUACUAAUGAAAAAACAAAACACAAAGAAACUCAGCAGCAGUGACUAAGUACUGAUGAUCAGUAAUCAGUGUUUCCUGCAACUCUUGGUGACAUCAUCUAACAGUUAAAUCUCCUGUCUGGCCGUCGGGUCCUCACCGGGUGCGGUGGUGCGUGCCUGUAAUCCAAGAUUACAUAAUGAGAUGGGUGGCAAGAGAAAAAAACUUCUUUGCUGCCUUUUCACCCUUGUCGUGGCUUUUGUUUAGUCUUGGGGCAUAAAUGCAUCAG